rnacentral:rRNA from 1 species
UACAGAGGUCUCAAGCGUUGUUCGGAUUCACUGGGCGUAAAGGGUGCGUAGGCGGUCGGGUAAGUCUGAUGUGAAAUCUCCGAGCUUAACUCGGAAACUGCAUUCGAUACUGCGGUGCUUGAGGACUGGAGAGGAGACUGGAAUUCAUGGUGUAGCAGUGAAAUGCGUAGAGAUCAUGAGGAAGACCAGUGGCGAAGGCGGGUCUCUGGGCAACAACUGACGCUGAGGAGCGAAAGCGUGGGGAGCGAACAGG